UAAUAUUUUGAACAACACAGGCUUUACAUGAAGCCUUAAUGAGGCAAGACGAGCUGCUGGCAUACGUUGAUCAACAACGAGAGGCUAAGUUUAGGAAGAAGAGAUUCUGCUUCUGAAAAGCGUACAAAGGAGUAGAGGUCUUUAUCGCUUAUGCAAGAGGUUUGCAGUGUAUACAUUGUGUGUAAUUCUCUUGGCAUUAAGUAUGGAAGUAGAGAGAGAAAUCGAAAGAGUGGAUUUUUCUUCUCUCAUUCUCUCUCUAUUUACCUGAGGAUCUUGUGUUAUCUAAUCACUAGGAAAAUUGUGAUCAUUUGUGAAGAAUUGGUGAAAAAUAAUAUUCUGUUUUGUUUUCUUGAUCUCUCUAACAGGAGGAAAAAACGGAUUGCCCUUAUUUGUGUUUUAUGAACUUCGCAUGAAGGAAAAAUAAAAGGUUAUUGGGCAAAUUAGAAUGUGUAUAAACUUGUUUAAUGAGCUUGAACAAUAUGUUAUAGAAAAAAGAAUUGAAACUCGUAAAUGUGCAUUAUUUCCACUUUUUGUA